GACGAACGCUGGCGGCGUGCUUAACACAUGCAAGUCGAACGGAAAGGCCCUGCUUGCAGGGUACUCGAGUGGCGAACGGGUGAGUAACACGUGGGUGAUCUGCCCUGCACUUCGGGAUAAGCCUGGGAAACUGGGUCUAAUACCGGAUAGGAGCCAUUUUUAGUGUGAUGGUUGGAAAGUUUUUUCGGUGUAGGAUGAGCUCGCGGCCUAUCAGCUUGUUGGUGGGGUAAUGGCCUACCAAGGCGGCGACGGGUAACCGGCCUGAGAGGGUGGACGGCCACAUUGGGACUGAGAUACGGCCCAGACUCCUACGGGAGGCAGCAGUGGGGAAUAUUGCACAAUGGGCGCAAGCCUGAUGCAGCGACGCCGCGUGGGGGAUGACGGCCUUCGGGUUGUAAACUCCUUUCGCUAGGGACGAAGCUUUUUGUGACGGUACCUAGAUAAGAAGCACCGGCUAACUACGUG
rnacentral:rRNA from 1 species